CCUACGGGGGGCUGCAGUGGGGAAUAUUGGACAAUGGGGGAAACCCUGAUCCAGCCAUGCCGCGUGUGUGAAGAAGGCCCUCGGGUUGUAAAGCACUUUCAGUGAGGAAGAACGCCUGGUGGUUAAUACCCAUCAGGAAAGACAUCACUCACAGAAGAAGCACCGGCUAACUCCGUGCCAGCAGCCGCGGUAAUACGGAGGGUGCGAGCGUUAAUCGGAAUUACUGGGCGUAAAGCGCGCGUAGGUGGCUUGAUAAGCCGGUUGUGAAAGCCCCGGGCUCAACCUGGGAACGGCAUCCGGAACUGUCAAGCUAGAGUGCAGGAGAGGAAGGUAGAAUUCCCGGUGUAGCGGUGAAAUGCGUAGAGAUCGGGAGGAAUACCAGUGGCGAAGGCGGCCUUCUGGACUGACACUGACACUGAGGUGCGAAAGCGUGGGUAGCAAACAGGAUUAGAUACCCCAGUAGUC
rnacentral:rRNA from 1 species